rnacentral:pre_miRNA from 1 species
UGGAGGAACAACCGCAGUGGCAGCGGCCAGCUCUGGAGCCCUGGAGUCAGCUCCCGCAGUAACUACCGAGCUCUCUGUCUGCAGGGCCUGGAGGCUCCAGGGCGGG